rnacentral:rRNA from 1 species
AUGAACGCUGGCGGCGUGCCUAAUACAUGCAAGGCGAGCGAACAGACGAGGAGCUUGCUCCUCUGACGUUAGCGGCGGACGGGUGAGUAACACGUGGAUAACCUACCUAUAAGACUGGGAUAACUUCGGGAAACCGGAGCUAAUACCGGAUAAUAUAUUGAACCGCAUGGUUCAAUAGUGAAAGACGGUUUUGCUGUCACUUAUAGAUGGAUCCGCGCCGCAUUAGCUAGUUGGUAAGGUAACGGCUUACCAAGGCAACGAUGCGUAGCCGACCUGAGAGGGUGAUCGGCCACACUAGAACUGAGACACGGUCCAGACUCCUGCGGGAGGCAGCAGUAGGGAAUCUUCCGCAAUGGGCGAAAGCCUGACGGAGCAACGCCGCGUGAGUGAUGAAGGUCUUCGGAUCGUAAAACUCUGUUAUUAGGGAAGAACAAAUGUGUAAGUAACUAUGCACGUCUUGACGGUACCUAGUCAGAAAGCCACGGCUAACUACGUG